AACGAACGCUGGCGGCAUGCCUAACACGUGCCAGUCGAACGAGACCUUUGGGUCUAGUGGCGCACGGGUGCGUAACGCGUGGGAAUCUGCCCUUGGGUUCGGAAUAACAGUGAGAAAUUGCUGCUAAUACCGGAUGAUGUCUUCGGACCAAAGAUUUAUCGCCCAGGGAUGAGCCCGCGUAGGAUUAGCUAGUUGGUGGGGUAAUGGCCUACCAAGGCGACGAUCCUUAGCUGGUCUGAGAGGAUGAUCAGCCACACUGGGACUGAGACACGGCCCAGACUCCUACGGGAGGCAGCAGUGGGGAAUAUUGGACAAUGGGCGCAAGCCUGAUCCAGCAAUGCCGCGUGAGUGAUGAAGGCCUUAGGGUUGUAAAGCUCUUUUACCAGGGAUGAUAAUGACAGUACCUGGAGAAUAAGCUCCGGCUAACUCCGUG
rnacentral:rRNA from 1 species